AAUGAACGUUGGCGGCGUGGAUAAGACAUGCAAGUCGAACGGAAAGUCCCGCAAUGGCACUCGAGCGGCGUAAGAGACAGUAAUAUGUAGGUACGUACCCCGGAGUCUAGGAUAGCUGCGGUAAACUGCAAUGAAUACUAGAUGAUGUCUUCGGACCAAAGCUGUUAUUUCACCCAGGGAGGGGCCUACGUCCUAUUAGCUAGUUGGUAGGGUAACGGCCCGCCAAGGCGACGGUCCGUAGCUGGUCUGAGAGGACGAACAGCCAAGCUGGGACUGAGACACGGCCGAGACUCCUACGGGAGGCAGCAGUGAGGAAUAUUGGACAGUGGGCGAAAGCCUGAUCCAGCAAUGCCGCGUGAGUGAUGAAGGCGGUAGGGUUGUAAAGCUGUUUUGCCCGGGAUGAUGAUGACAGUACCGGGAGAAGAAGCGCCGGCUAACUCCGUG
rnacentral:rRNA from 1 species